UACGUCUGGUGAGGAUAGAAAAAGGACAGGUUUCGCUAAAAUACUAGCCGAACGCCAACAUGUAGAGACACCUUGGCUGUCUGAGGACG
rfam:Caenorhabditis briggsae complete genome, chrII